rnacentral:lncRNA from 1 species
GGUAAAGCAAAAACACCCCUCAGUAGGUGUUGAUUUUUAACGUUGGUGUCGCAACCGGAAAAUCGCGACGGGACAACGAUAUCCAAAAAUAAUUAAUAAGUUUAGAAAAGAGAUUUGGAGUCGCCACCAUAGUUUAUUCUAGAAAACUACGGAAAAACCAUAAAAUGAUAAAGCACGGUCCACGAAAACCAAAGAUUAGGUUCGGGAGUCGGUUACGUGUGAGGAAGGCGUUAGCACCCCC